CUUGAGGUGCUGGCUCAACCGGGGGUGGUGAGUUCCGAACGGAACAUUCUGGGCUUGGUGGAGGACAUCGAGAGGCGUUGGAAGCCCCUUUGCUUCUUAGCUUCAUGGUAGCGAACUCGGGCCCUUCCUCUAGCGCCAACUGUUGCUAGAAAUUGGACCCGCGGGCCACCGUGAAGCCGGGGAAGGAGGAGCUCCGCUGCUGCUGGGGGCGGACGGCGGUGCGCCGGCUGGCUGCGUCCUCCGCUGCGGGGGGGUGUGCAAGUCCUGCAAAGAAAACCGGUGGCCGGGCUCCCCGGCGCCGGCCCUCCGAUGCCUAAGUCAGAGGGGGCAAGUAUGUGGAGAGAGCAGGGGAGAGAGUAUGUGGAGAAGACAAAGAGAAUCUCGUGUUCAAUUGUGUCUGUGCUGUUUUCUUCCUCUUCCCCCGGUCUAGGAGGGUUCACUCCAGCUCCGGGUUUUUUCUCUGGUUUUUGGUCCUCUCUCCCUUUUCCCUCCAGGUUUCCUUUUAUAGGA
rnacentral:lncRNA from 1 species